rnacentral:sRNA from 1 species
AACCAUACAUGCUCGCGCAGGAUGCGAACCAGCGAAGCUGUUCGACACUAAACUUGUUUAGUGAACGUGCUUCAGCACGGCCCGAAGGGUGAGCCUCGCAGAGGCGAAUCAUCCAGCACGACCCACCA